AUACUCUCAGGUCCCCUUUGUACCCACGUUGCUCUUCGGUCGCCAAAUGUGAAGGAAGACGCGAACCUGGUUCAUUAUCAGCGCAUUCUGUAUAACUGCGGCUUGGCCCUCCACCAUGAAUACGAGUUUUCAUCAACUGAGGAAAAGGAGGGGGACUGCGUAUUUGGGAAUCAUUUCAGAACCCAGGGGCCUUUUCAAGCUUCACCCUCUCCCAGCCAACGGACGCUGAUAUUUCAUCUCCAAUGUCUACCUCGCUUAGGUUGAAGAGAAACUACUUGAGUACUGGAAAACAGAGGGAGAAUUUUAGAGUGAGAGCUGAAGACCCACUGAGCCCAGAGACCAACGGGGCUUCCAGUAUAAAUCGGAAUUGGAAAGAGUCUAGAAUCAAGAAAAGAAGGUGUUUUGCAAAUAAAAAUAGGAAGAUAUUUCCAAUACAUUCAUGAGUGAGAAAGAAGGCAAGAUGAUUCGAAUGUGAAAAUUCAACCCUACUUACUUCCAAGGACUGUAACCAUAGGAGGCCUGUUAAAAAGCUGUAAUUUGUUUAAGUAUGAAGAAACAUUAGGAGACAACCCACCCAACUGAUACCACAGGGUAAGAAGCCUGAGGGGAACUUAUUAAGAUUGUUACUAUUUUUUAUUUUUUUAAAGAAAGCUUAGGACUCAAGAAGUACCAAAGAAGGAUUUGAAGGAACAAAAAUCCUUCGGGUACUGAUUUCAUCAGAUAAUAAGUUGCUGUCCUGUAAUAUUACCAACGGUCAUGAACAACAUGGUUGUGAUUUCAAGUUAACAUUUGAAAUAUAUAACUUGUCAAAGCCCAUCUCUGAAAUAAAUAAAAAUUCAAAAUGACAUUCACAUUGUAAGAAUAGUUUCUGGAAGGAGUUCUCUUUUGAUCGCACACACAGACCUUAUCUCGGAGCUGAGCCAUUCAAUGCAGGAUCAUCUUACCUGGACUGUCCGUAAACACUGGGGCAGCCCAGGUCAGCGGGCAGUGGGAUUCUGCUCUCACUGUCUCAGGGAGGAGCAAUUACUACCUUAGUCACUAACCUCCCUUUCACUCAUGCACAAGACCUUUAGGAGUUGCGAGGAGAGAAAAGAUGGAUGCCUAGUGCUUCUACAAUUCCUUACAGAAGAAUGUGAAGUGUUCCUGGCCCAAAGAUACAGGAACUAAUUGUCCCAUGGGCAAUUGGGAUCUUGCUGUUUGGGAGUUCUUGGGAAGUAGGAGUGAAGGAUGAAUUAGAACCUAGCUCUUCGACUGCUCUCCCCCAACUCCAGUUUCUGCAUAUUCUUACCACACACAGCUCUCAUUCAUUUCAUGCUCUGUCCCAUUCAGGGUUUGGGAGCGAGGGAAGACAAUGGGGCACUGGAAGGGUAUGUGGAAAUUGUUCCUGUGACCUCGGUGAUCUCCUCUUACUAUAGAAUGCAACAUACAUUUUCCCAGAUUAAUUCUGUUCUAAAUGGUGACAAUCAACCCAACUGGAAGCUUUCUUAUUCGAUAGUGCAGAUAAUUUACUGGAGAACAGAAAACAAGACUGCUAUAAACCUUUAGAAGUUCAGUUACAGUAUGAUUGAGAAGACUUUUGUGGGUAACCUAGAAACUCAUUACUAUUUAUCCCGUUUUUUUCCCUGUCUGCAAAUAUUCUGAAUUACAAACAACCAAUUUCAAAAUGUAGACUCGGACACUACUGUUUUGUGAAUUAGGAAAUUGCCUAGACUCAAUUAAUUAUUAAGAUUGGAUAUAUGAACUGACAACAAGGAAAUUAAUUCCAAGAUUAAGAAACACCAGAUACAUUCGCAUGGAUUUUGCAUUGCACACCUCCAGAGGGCCUCUUUCACACAGAUUGUAGUGUGAAUGGUGCCACCCAACCAUGUAGCAUUGCGAGAGGAAGCAUCUGAUUCCCUUCCUUAUCCUAGAGAACAUUUUUAGAGCAAAUACAAAGAACUAAAUUAUCAGUAUCUUUUCACUCACAAAGUCAUUGACCCUAAAGCAAUAGGACUUAUACCACCCCUCUCCCCACCAGCAGCCACCUCUGGAUUGUUGUAGUCAUCUCCUUCGAAGAAUUAUCUCUCUACUUUCAGAGAGAGAAAAAUCUGUUCUUCGGCUUCUAAACUGGAAUGAAGAAUGGAUAUUCCAAUAAAAAGAGAAGCCAUUUAGUGCAUAAUGUUCCUGAAACAUAGGGGCAUGACAGAGGAAUCCGACUACUAACAACACAGGUAUAUUUGGAGAAAGCACAAUUUGAUUCCAAAACCUUAGGAGGGCACCUUACUAGGAGGAUUUACCUGGAACCUACUUACAUAUAGAUUAAGAAAACGUGUGCAUCACAUACUCUCAAAAAGUAAAUGGACAGCAGAAGAUUUUAAAAUGGGAAACACAAAAAGUUCCUAUGAUCCUUUUGAAUAUAACUUUAGUAUGCAGUCAGAUAGUAAAAGAUAAACAGAAGAAAUUCCUCAGCUUUCUAGAUUCCUUGUCAUAUGUUGGUCUCGUGGGUCUAUAUAGGUUUGAUUAUUUGAAGAUCUUUUUUAGGAUUUCAAUAAAGCCAAUCAGGAAAGAUUAUCCUGGGCAAGCAUGGGAUAUACACACGAGUCACUGGUUACUGGGCAGAUUUGGGAUAAAGAUGACUUUAGCCCUCCCUACCUCAAGCUUGCUCUAGUAAGGGAGAAAAAUGGAACACUAUAACCAACAUAUGUCUCUUUAAAGGAAGAGUGGGUCAGAGACUGAUACAGUUUUGAGAGGGCACAAUAAUACAUCAAUUUAGAUACAGCUUUUUCAGUGAUAGACACAAUAUAAGGCUUUCCCCUAGUUAAACCGAGCUCAAACUGAGAAUUCCAGAUUUAGAUCUUCCAAAAUUUGCCACUCUACUGUUAAUCUUCCCCAAUUCAAUAAUAUUGGCUGCCUUCUGAUGCAGUUUCUGAAGGACAAAGCUUUUCUGUAAGGGAAGACAGAAUAUAUUUUAAUAUUUUAAAAAUAAGUGAUUUGUUCCUUAAGUCGGUCAAGAUGCUUCCUUCUAACACAUUGCCAAUCAUCUUCUUUCUACUUUAACGCUGGAAACACGGCAAGUCAGGAAGGGCAAGGAAGGGACACAUAGCAGAAAAGAGGAAAUAAGUGAAAGACUGAGAGAAAAGAAAAACAAUAGGAAGAAAGAGGAAGGUUAACAACGGGGGAGCACAUGGUGUAUUCACGCCAACUGGGAAUACAAUUAAUGUACCCGAAAUCAAAUGGAGAGCAACUUCCCCUUAGCUUAUUACUCCCUUCUCUAGAGGAUUCAAGAACGUGAUCACUGACAGAGUUCUUGCAGAUGAUCCACUCCAAAGCCCUCAUUUCACCAGUGAGGAAAGGGAGCCCCUGGAAGGCAAAGUGACUUACAAGUCAUGCCUAGAAGCCAGGUUCACGUGGACCAGUCUAAUGUUCUACCAACCACAGCUGCCUGAAAGCAGUAAUGGCUUUUCCAAGUCGUAGAUGAUCACUAAUGACCCCAACAGUGAGGUAAGAUGGAGAUGGCCUUUCUCUCUCUUGGGGGAAAACACAGAUCAGCUCACACUCUUUGAAUCUGCCAGAACAGCUGGAGGUGGGCAAGGCCACAGCUGACCCAGCUCCUAGGGUAAUUUGACCCUUGGAGAUAGCACAUUCCAAAUUUAGAGGGACAAGCUCUAAGCCCAAUGUUUUA